GACGAACGCUGGCGGCGUGCCUAAUACAUGCAAGUAGAACGCUGAAGGAGGAGCUUGUUUCUCAGGAUGAGUUGCGAACGGGUGAGUAACGCGUAGGUAACCUGCCUGGUAGCGGGGGAUAACUAUUGGAAACGAUAGCUAAUACCGCAUAAGAGUAGAUGUUGCAUGACAUUUGCUUAAAAGGUGCAAUUGCAUCACUACCAGAUGGACCUGCGUUGUAUUAGCUAGUUGGUGAGGUAACGGCUCACCAAGGCAACGAUACAUAGCCGACCUGAGAGGGUGAUCGGCCACACUGGGACUGAGACACGGCCCAGACUCCUACGGGAGGCAGCAGUAGGGGAAUCUCUCCGGCAAU
rnacentral:rRNA from 1 species